rnacentral:lncRNA from 1 species
AUGAACAAAUUACAGAAAAGUUACAAGCACCUUGUAGGCCUCCCAAUACAGGCAUUUGAACAGGCACAGCCCUUGCUGCUAAUUGGAGCGGAUCACCCUCACUUGAUUACACCUGUUAAGCCAGUAAGGUUCGGACCCCCAGGAGGACCGGCAGCCUUGAAGACACGAUUAGGGUGGACAUUACAGGGUCCCACCCGACUUGUCGAGCAGUCCAUUCGGCCACAGCAGUGUUUAUUGACCUCGACAAAUCCCCUAGUGGAAGAGCUUUUCAAGAACGUAGAGAAACUGUGGCAAGUGGACGUACUUCCUAUCAAGAAUGAGAAAGAGGUUACCAGGUCACGACAAGAUCAAGAGGCCAUUAACAUGCUUGAAUUAAAGACCAAUCGAGUUAAAGUGGACGGAGUUUUACGUUAUGCCACCCCGCUGCUUAGGCACAAAGAUAUGCCUCUUUUCCAAGCCACAAAGGAAAUGGUAAUGCCCAGCCUCCGGAACACCGAACGGUGCCUCGUUAAAGACCCGGAACGAGCGAAGGCAUACAACGCUGAAAUUCAGAAACUGACUCAGGCCGGAGUAGUUAGGAAGCUGAACUACCAUGAGAUGACACAAUCAGUUGAAUCAUGGUAUAUUCCACACCACAUGGUGACCCACAAUAGCAAGAAUCGUAUAGUGUUCAACUGCUCUUACCAGUACCGAGGUCUGAACCUAAAUCAGUGGCUGUUACCUGGACCCACCUUAGGACCCUCACUCCUAGGAGUGCUGUUACGAUUUCGAGAGCAUAGUGUAGCCAUAAGUGGUGACGUGAAAGCCAUGUUCCACCAGGUCCGCCUGCUCCCUGAAGAUCGCCCCCUUCUGAGAUUUGUCUGGAGAGACCUGGAAAGAGACCAAAUUCCAUCUGUGUAUGAGUGGCAGGUUUUACCUUUUGGUACGACGUGUAGUCCGUGCUGUGCCACUUACGCCAUGCAGCACCAUGUAAUCAGUCACAGCCAGCCAGAGGAUGAUGUGAGGUUUUCCAUUGAGAAAUGCUUCUACGUUGAUAAUUGUCUGCAAAGCCUCUCCUCACCUGACCAGGCCAGAACCCUGAUAGAUAAGUUAAGGAAGACUUUAGCCUCAGGUGGAUUUGAACUCCGACAGUGGGCCAGCAAUAAGCCGGAUGUCAUCAGUCACCUACCCGAAGAAGCUCGAUCAGACAAUCUGGAACUCUGGCUAGCUCAUGACCGAAUAGAUAACCCUGAAUCUGCUCUUGGCCUCAGCUGGCACUGUUCAACAGAUGAGCUGAGAUACAAACAUCGCCCUGUGGAUUAUGAUGCUCCUACCAUGCGGAACAUCUACAAGGUUUUAGCCAGCCAAUAUGACCCUCUCGGCUUUAUUCUGCCAUACACCACCCGUGCCAAAAUAUUAGUGAGACAACUAUGGGACAAACACAGAGACUGGGACGACCCCCAGCUGCCGCAGGAUUUGCUACAGGCCUGGAGGGAUUGGGAAGGAGAGUUAAAAUUCCUGCCGAGGAUCACGUUCCCCCGAGCAUACGUACCUCCUGCCAUGGAUGAGAGAAGAAUAACUCAUGAGAUACAUGUGUUCUCUGAUGCCUCGGAACAAUCCUAUGGAGCUGUCGCUUACCUGAGGACAGUUGAUACUCAGGGUCAGCCUUAUCUCUCCUUCAUUGUAGCCCGUUCAAGAAUUGCACCUAAACGACUGCACUCAAUGCCCAGACUGGAGCUCUGUGCUGCCCUCACAGGAGCCCAACUCAGUAGAUUGUUAGAACGAGAGCUUACCCUGCCAAUCAGCCGAACUACCCUCUGGACCGAUUCAACCACGGUCUUGUCCUGGUUACACUCUGAGUCAUGUCGAUUUAAAGUUUUCGUUGGCACUCGAGUGGCAGAAAUUCAGGAGCUCACUGAUCGACUUUCAUGGCGAUAUGUUGACUCAGCGAAAAACCCUGCUGAUGACCUCACCAGAGGUAAGAAGCUAGAAGAACUGGCUGAGCCUAACCGAUGGAGCCAUGGGCCACCCUUUCUUCUUCAAAGCCCAGACAAAUGGCCGACCCCACCAACAACAGUAAUAGACGAGUGUCACACAGAACUUCGCAAGUCUAUAUUCUGUGGAGUCACUACGACCAUACCUGACAAGGAGCCUUACCUACCAGAUGUGCAUCAGUACACCACUUGGAGGGAACUUUUGGAGGCAACCGUACAGAAGCUUCAAGGGGCGGCAAGUAACAGCAGAGCUCUGAGCGCUGAUGACUACAGUACAGCCGAGAUUUUUAUCCUAAGAAGGGCACAACAGGAUAGCUUCACAGAGGAGUUCAGCCUACUGCGAAAUGGGAAAACAGUUCAACGUAAUAGCCGUCUACUUACGCUGUCUCCAGAGCUGGACAAGACAGAUGAACUCAUUAAGGUUGGUGGCAGAUUGAGACAAUCUGAAGACUUAGACCCAGCUGCUGUGCAUCCCAUUAUUCUGGAUCACCACCAUCCCACCACUAAGCUUUUGAUCCAAGACUACGAUUCUCGACUCGGCCACCCCGGCCCUGAGAGAGUGUUUGCAGAGAUCCGCCGCAAGUUUUGGAUCUUACGAGGUCGAGAGGCAAUUCGACGAUAUCAGCAUACCUGCACAGACUGUAGACGAUGGAAAUCAAACCCUCAAAUUCCUAAGAUGGCAGACUUACCUAUAGCACGCCUACGCCUUUAUAAGCCAGCAUUUUACUCGACGGGGAUGGACUGUUUCGGGCCCUUUGUAGUUAAGGUGGGCAGGCGGACCGAGAAGAGGUGGGGAAUCAUAUUUAAAUGGCUUACAACCAGAUGUGUACAUCUAGAGAUCCUCACCAGUAUGAAUGCCGACUCCUUCUUAAUGGCCUUGAGGAGGUUCAUCGCCAGAAGAGGGACACCAGCUGAGUUGUUCUCCGACCAGGGAACAAAUUUCCGGGGAGGAGAAAGAGAGAUACGAGAGGCUCUUGCGGAACUGUCUCCAGAACUCCAACUCCAGCUUGCCAAACAUAAGAUACAUUUUCACUUCAACCCACCUGGCGCACCCCACUUCGGCGGAACAUGGGAAAGGGAAAUUCGCUCUGUGAAAACGGCACUUUACAGAGUAGUAGGAAGUCAAGCUGUCACGGAGGAAGUGCUCCAUACUGUUCUCCUGGAAGUAGAAGGCAUGUUGAAUGCUAAACCAUUGGGAUAUGUAUCCUCUAACCCUAAGGACCUUGAUCCGGUGACUCCAAAUUUUCUUCUGAUGGGGCGGCGGGAUGGAUCCCUGCCCCAAGCAGUGUACCCCAAAUCUGAACUCCUGAGCAGACGCCGAUGGAGACAUUCCCAAAUUCUGGCUGACCAGUUCUGGUCUAGUUUCAUUAAGAACUAUCUCCCAAGUCUACAGUCCCGCCAGAAAUGGUAUUCCACCUCUACAGAUAUAUCCCUAGGAUCUGUAGUACUGAUGAUGGACCCUCAACUGCCGAGAGCGCACUGGCCUAUAGGACGUGUCACCAAAGUUUACCCCAGUGCUGAUGGACAUGUAAGGACAGUGGACGUAAAGAUCAAUGACAGAACCUACACUAGACCGGUAGCCAGGCUGAUUGUUCUAUCAGAGGUUCAAAAUGAAGAUAAGAACUGUUCACAGCUACUGAACUAA